CUAACAAGGAUUCCCCUAGUAACGGCGAGUGAAGCGGGAUGAGCUCACCAUGUGAAUCUGCGCAACCAGCAAUGGUGCGCCGAAUUGUGGUCUGAAGAAGUAUUGUCGGCCGCGAACCCGGGCCAAGUCUCUUGGAAAAGGGCAGCUGAGAGGGUGAAACUCCCGUUCUUGCCUGGGUUUGUUGUGCUUAAGCAUAUGCUUUCUAUGAGUCGAGUUGCUUGGGAUUGCAGCUCAAAUUUGGUGGUAAAUUCCAUCUAAAGCUAAAUAUUGGUGGGACACCGAUAGUGUACAAGUACCGUGAGGGAAAGAUGCAAAGAACUUUGAAAAGAGAGUUAAAGAGUACCUGAAAUUGUUAAAAGGGAAGCGAAGGAAUCCAGUGUAAAGCGAAGCCAUUCUUCUCAAGCCACUUGUGGUUUGGGCGCUGUGGUUAGCUGUACUAAUUCUGGGCUUGACCUGGGACAAACGUUUAGUAAGUAGACGACUCCUCGGAGUGAGUGCUUGCUCUUCAUGUUCUGGGUCGGGCUGAGGUCAGUCACUCUGUGCUCGUGAUGAAUUAGGAAAUGGAUUUCUUUACCCCGUCUUGAAACACGGACCAAGGAGUCUAACAUAUGUGCAAGUACGUCAGUGGCAAACUGAUAUGCGUAAUGAAAGUAACAGUGGUAGGAACCUUCGGGUGCACUAUCCGCCGGCCAACAUCCUUCGGGAGAAAGGUCURAGUGUGAGCAUACAUGUUGGGACCCGAAAGAUGGUGAACUAUGCCUGAGUAGGGCGAAACCAGGGGAAAC
rnacentral:rRNA from 1 species